rnacentral:rRNA from 1 species
ACAGUGGACGCGAGCAUCUGUGGCCAAGUUUUUAAGGGCGCACGGUGGAUGCCUUGGUACCAGGAACCGAUGAAGGACGUGGGAGGCCACGAUAGUCCCCGGGGAGCCGUCAACCAGGCUUUGAUCCGGGGGUUUCCGAAUGGGGAAACCCGGCAGUCGUCAUGGGCUGUCACCCACAUCUGAACACAUAGGGUGUGUGGAGGG